UUACAAUUAACCUGAAACUGCGUGCGCUGAUUUCACGCAAGUUUAUGUUGCGCCAACUUUUUUUUUAAACCAGGUCGCGAAUGCACGAGGCUGGGAGUAGCACGUCGUUUUGUGGGUAAAUUAUUAAAGAAGUCAUCCAGAUUACACCUGUUGAAGUUAUCUCCAUAUAUUUGGCAAUAAUGGACCCAAUUCUAUAGCUGUUUUAUACAGCAAGACCACAAAUCUCAGAUGGGGACAAGGAGGCAUACAGAAGCAAGAUGAAUCAGUGGUUGAGUGGUGUUACAACAAGAACCAUAAACGCAAGGUGAGCAAGAUGUGAGAAUUGAAUGUCGCCUUCAGGAAGUGGAAGUUGGGAGAACACACACCAAUCCUUAUUGAGGAGUCAGCGGUGGAUAAGAUUGUUCUUCAAAACUGGUGAAGGGUCUCAGAACUGAAACAUUAAAUUUUGUUUCUCUUCUCACAAUAAUGCUGCUGGAGGCAGUGCAGUUGUCUCUUGGCUCCAACAGCCCAGGUUCAAAUUCUUCCCCUCCAGCAUCAGAGUUAUGAACAGUUCAUGAAGCCAUGAGCCAUUAUUCCUUUCUUUUCACACUAUUAAUUUUGAAUUUUGUAUUAAUUUUAUAUCUGCAUUGUAUUAUUGCUGUAAAGCAAUAAAUUUCACAUCAUAUAAGACAGUAAUAAUAAACCUGAUUCCGAUGCUCUUCAUUGACUACAGCCCUGCAUUCAACACUAUCAUCCCCUCAAAGCUAAUCAAUCAGCUCCAAGAAAUAAGCUUCAGAACCUCUUUGUGCAACUGGAUCCUCAAUUUGCUCACUGGCAGACCCCAGUCAGUUCAGAUUGGCAACAACAUCUCCUCGGCAAUCACCAUCAGCAUGGGUGCACCCACAAGGUUGUGUGCUCAGCUCCCUGCUCCACUCACUACAUACUCAUGUCUCUGAGACUAAGUAGAGCUCCAAUACCAUUUUUAAGUUUGCUGAUGACACCACUGUUGUCAGAUGAUUCAAAGGUGGUCAUGAACUGUCAGCAUAUAGAAGGGUUAUUGAAAAUCUGGCUGAGUGGCGCCUCAACAAAAACCUCUUACUCAUUGUUAGCAAGAUGAAGGAGAUGAUUGACUUUGGGAGGAGGAAACCGAAGGGUCAUGACUCAGUCAUCAUCAGGGAUUAGAGGUGGAGAGGGUCAACAACUUUAAAUUCCUUGGUGUUAUCAUUUCAGAGGAUCUGUCCUGGGUCCAACACAUAUGUGCCGUUACAAAGAAGACCUGUCAGCAGCUUUGCUUUCUAGAAGUUCGCAAGGAUUUGGUAUGUCAUCUAAAACUUUGACAGACUUCUAUAGCUAAAUGGUGGAGAAUAUACUGCCAGGUUGUAUCUCAGCCUGGUAUGGAAGCUCCAAUGCCAGUAGACAGAAAAGCCAACAAAAAUAAUGAUACAGCCCAGUCCAUCACAGGUAAAGCCCUCCCCACCACUGAGCACAUCUACAAGAAGUGAUGUCACAGAAAGCAGCAUCUGCCAUCGAAGACCCCAACCAUGCUGUCUUCUCACUGCUGCCAUCAGGAAGAAUGAACAAGAGCCUCAGAUCCCACACCACCAGGUUCAGGAACGGUUAUUGCUCCUCAACCAUCAAGUUCUUGAACCAGAGCAAAUAAUGUCAUUCAACUUCACUCACCCCAUCACUGAAAUGUUCCCAUGACAUUUGGACUCACUUUCAAGGACCUUACAACUCAUGUUCACCAUAUUUAUUGCUUAUUUGUUUAUUAACAUUUUUUUAAAUUUUUUGUGUUUGCACAGUUUGUUGUCUUUUGCACAUUUACCAUGAAUG